rnacentral:misc_RNA from 1 species
GAAAAAGGCAAUGUCUGAAAAGAUAGAACGGAUGGAACUUGAUUCAGAAUCAAAAGACAAGCAACAUAUGGAGCUUCAGGAACUAUACAAUUCUCAGCAGUUGUUGACCACUGAAUUGAGUGUCAAACUUGACAAGACAGAGAAAAAGCUUCAGGAAACUCAGCAUACUUUGGCUGAUCUCGAAGAGAAACAUAGGCUGGCAAUUACAACAAUUAGAGAAAAGGAA